rnacentral:rRNA from 1 species
UACAGAGGGUGCGAGCGUUAAUCGGAAUUACCGGGCGUAAAGCGCACGUAGGUGGCGACGUAAGUCGGGUGUGAAAGCCCCGGGCUCAACCUGGGAAUUGCAUUCGAGACUGUGUUGCUGGAGUACGGAAGAGGAGGGCGGAAUUCCCGGUGUAGCGGUGAAAUGCGUAGAUAUCGGGAGGAACAUCAGUGGCGAAGGCGGCCCUCUGGUCCAGUACUGACACUCAAGUGCGAAAGCGUGGGGAGCAAACAGGAUUAGAACCGUACCGU